ACGGCCAUAUCACGUUGAAACACUGGUUCUUGUACGAUCAUCGAAGUUAAGCAACAUCGAGCUUGGUCAGUGCCUAGAUGAGUGACCCCUUGGGGAUAAUACGAGCUGUAA